rnacentral:rRNA from 1 species
UUUCCUACGGGGCGCAGCAGUGAGGAAUAUUGGUCAAUGGCCGGAAGGCUGAACCAGCCAAGCCGCGUGAAGGACGAAGGUGCCAAGCAUUGUAAACUUCUUUUGUCAAGGGACAAAAUCAGGCUCGAGAGCCUGACCGAGGGUACUUGAAGAAAAAGCAUCGGCUAACUACGUGCCAGCAGCCGCGGUAAUACGUAGGUGGCAAGCGUUGUCCGGAUUUACUGGGUGUAAAGGGCGUGUAGCCGGGCUGACAAGUCAGAUGUGAA